CCAGGAGCAGUGGCUCAUGCCUGUAAUCCCAUCACUUUGGGAGGCUGAGGUGGGUGGAUCACCUGAAGUCAGGAGUUUGAGACCAGCCUGACCAACAUGGAGAAACCCCAUCACUACUAAAUAUACGAAAUUAGCCAGGCAUCAUGGCGCAUGCCUGUGAUUUCAGCUACUGAGGAGGCUGAGGCAGGAGAAUCACUUGAACCCAGGAGGCAGAGGGUGCAGUGAGCUGAGAUUGCCCCAUUGCACUCCAUCCUGAGCAGCAAGAAUGGAACGCCAUCUCAAAAAAAUAAAUAAAUAAAAGGAAGAAAAAGGUAUCAUUUCUUUUCUACCAGGUCCCUGACUAACCACAUGGUGCACCCAAGACACUGCAUUAACACAUCUAUUCACAGUGUUAAUUUAAAAAAUUGACUUACUACAAUAAAAAGGGAAAAUAAGAUGUUCUGGAAACAGAGCAGGAAGGAAGGCAAAGGUGGAAACAAUCAAUUUGGGGUGUCUGAGAAGCCCCAAGUGCAGAGGCUGCCCCGAGUCUUUAGAAGACAAGAAACAGAACUCACGACCCAAGAGUGAGAGACAGAGCCUGGCCAGAGCGUGAUGAUGAUGGCUCCCCUACAGGAUGCUAUUCCUGGAAAUCUCUGAUCAGAGGGACGAGGUCAAUGUGUGAAAAUACAGACACAUACAAAGUGCAGCUGAGGGCAGGAUGGAGAGCUGCCAGGACCUGCCCUUGACCUCCAUGGACUUGGAGAAAGGCUCACCCUGGAGAUGUGUGAGGCCUCCAACCUGGAGCAGCACCCGCCCCUAAAGACCAGGCACAAAUCACAGCACAGGGAGGGAUCCAGACAAAUAGACGAGGAAUGACCUCAGCAGGAACUUUGUGGAGCAGAGAGCGAGGCCGCGCACCACCCAGCACCUGCCCCUCCACCCGCCCUUCUCUCCCCACCUGGCCCCGCCUCAGCACAGAAAAUCCUUAUAAUCCAAAAAAGGGAACCUAUCCUCCUUUUUUUUUUUUGAGACAGAAUUUUGCUUUCGUUACCCAGACUGGAGUGCAAUGGUGCACUCUCGGCUCACUGCAACCUGCACCUCCCAGGUUCAAGUGAUUCUCUCACCUCGGUCUACUGAAUAGAUGGGAUCACAGGUGCCUGCCACCACAAUCAGCUAAUUUUUGUAUUUUUUAGGGAGAGGUUUUUGCCAUGUUAGCCAGGCUGGACUCAAACUCCUGACCUCAGGUGAUUCACCCACCUCAGUCUCCCAAAGUGUUGGGAUUACCGGCAUAAGCCACUACACCCGGCCUCCAUGUUCUCUUAAUAGUUUGUAACAUCUUAGCACAGCUUCAAAGAAGGGAUGUGAGAAUAAUAACCCAGAGCAAGACAUCUAUUUAGAGUGAGUGAGUCACAGGGGAGAUCUGGGAGGGAAACACUGUAACCCUUUCAUUCCAGAAAAGGAAGGUUGAUCCAGGGAAGGGGACCCCAGGCCUGGAUAUUGGGACUCUGUGGAAGGGGUUCUGGGGCAUCAGAGGAAUGGGUCCCUCUCCCUACAUCCCCCCUGUGCUAUGCUUGGGAGGAGGCACAGUUCAUCAGCUACACAGCUGGGGGAAGAGAAGUCAGGAUUCAGAGACAAGGGAGCUGAGAACAAUCUGUGUCUUGCUGGUCUGCACAAGGCAGCUCCAAACUGUGGAGAACAUGGUAAUGACCAGAUUCAGCUUAGCCACUCUCAGCCUCGACACCCUGAGCAUUAUGGGCAGGCCAUCGCCAUCCCCUACCUUCAAAUCCAGGGAUCCCCCACAACCCUAAGCUGCUCCCCAGCCUCAGCUCCUGUUGGCAAUGGGCCCCAAAGAUUAUAUUUCAGGAAGCUGUGAACACCACAUCAGCAUCAGGGACCCUGUCACCACCUGGAGAAUGAAAAUAAAGAGGACCCAGCAGAGCCUGCAGAAGGAGACUGUAUUUGAGGCAGGACCGUGGGAUGGGUGAGGAACAGGACCAUGGCUCCACGCUCUCUAUUCCAGGGGUUCAAGAUGAGCUUCUCCUGCCACCCCUUCCUUGUUGGUUUUUAUAGAGUAGACCCUCCUGACAUUCUUAUGAGGAGAGAAGACCCUGUUAGGUGCCAUGGUAGAGGGGGGCCCAAGUGUCAUGAAUACCUCAUUUAUAUUGCUACCAGCUGAGAUUAGGAAAUUAAACUGUUAAAUUCAGAACAGGAAGAAAAGAAAGCGGAGGACCCUGAAAUCUGCGUCCUGAAUGUCUGUUUGCAGUGAAGGUCUUUCCUUCAGGGUUAGGGCCACCCAGUAUCGUGGUCCUGACAUUGCUAUCCUGCUGUUCACAUCUGUGAAUGGGGCUGGACCCCCACCUUCCUCCAAUAUAAAUAACUAGGAGGAUCUGUCCACAUAUGCCUGGUACCUACAUAUUAGCUCAUAAUGUACAACAGUUUGGUAAUAUUUUAUAUCUUGUAGGAAAUAAACAAAAUAGAAGAAUAUUUUUAUUAAAGAUAAUUCAGGUUAUAUGAGAAUCAGAUUCCAGGGGUCCUGGGUACCUGAUCUCAAUGUUUAGAAUCCUCAUGGGGGAUCAGCGGAGUACAGAGCCCAGAAAUGGCCAUGAGACCUGAAGCUCCCUUGUGUAAAGGACCCUCCCCUGCACCCUGGGGCUCAGAGGGAACAGCACAGCUGACCCCAGGGUCUCCAGCCCUUAGCCUCUACUGUCAGCCUGCACUUUCUCAGCCUUCCAGAACCAAGCUUCUGGUUCCCAGCAGCCUCCUCUCUCACCCUUCACCUUCUCUGAUUGGGACCAUUGGCCACUUGACAGGCAGUGCCCUCCUUGUCAGUCUGCCUGGUUCCCUCUCAGGGCAUGUGGCUUAGUGGCUUCACCAUCCCCAGCUCUAGCAGGAGCAGGGAGAAGUGAAUAAGCAAGUCUCCCACUCACAGUGGGAUCCCAACAGGUGAGAAAGGGCAAAGCCAUCUCUCCAGCCUCUUGCAUACAUGAGAACUUCUUGCAUAUCCCAUCUCCAAAGACUGGAGCAGGAAGCAGCAGGAAGCCAGCAAUUGUUCCCAUGAUGGUUAGGAUGAGCUUGGAAGGUGUUUCUGAGAAGGGAAUGAAAGGGGCCUGGGCUUCCAGGUCAAAAUCCUGACCCUGCCACAGGGCCCAGAGCAGCCUUCACUAUGCCAGUUCUGUGAAGAGGUUUCCACCACACUCCCUCUUUACCUACCUCAGUUUAAGGAGCCUGAGCAGCCCCUCAUGCUCCACACAGCACGGGGAUACCUGCUUCUCUCCAGAAGGCACCACCAUAGCCACCCACUUCUAGAAGGUCCCAUCCCCCAGGCCUGGGGCCCCCAUGCUAUGCAUUUUGGGAUCUGGUCCUCCCCUUGCCACAGUCACAUCAGCAUAAUCUCUCCUGGGUAGAAGCCCCAAGCCCAGCAUCUCAAGGCGACUUUUCCAUUAGGACCCGAGUGAGGAGUCACAAGUGCUGAUGGCUGCUCCGAGGAGAGUCAGAGGCUGAGCCAGACAGUAGAUUCUCAUAGACAGAGAAAGUGUAAUGGGAAUCUCAUCAGCCUCCUUGUGAGAGGGGCAGCACCGAUUUUCUUUCUUUUUCUUUUCUGUGUGUGUGUGUGUGUGUGAGAGAGAGAGAGUUGGAGUUGCACCCUUGUUGCCCAAGCUGGAGUGUAAUGGCACAAUCCCAGCUUGCUGCAACCUCCACCUUCCAGGUUCAAGUGAUUCUCCUGCCUCAGGCUCCUGAGUAGCUGGGAUUACAGGUGCACACCACCACACCCUACUAAUUUUUUGUAUUUGUAAUAGAAGCAGGGUUUCAGCAUGUCAGCCAGGCUGGUCUCCAACUCCUGACCUCAGGUAAUCUGGCUGCCGCGGUCUCCCAAAGUGCCAGAUUACAGGCAUGAGCCACAACGCCUGGCCAACAAUUUUCAAAGUUAAAAAUAGGUUCUGGAUAAGCAAUUUUCCUAAUCUAUCUCUAAUGCUCUUUCUACAACUGUGUGUCAUUGUCUACAAAGCCACUCUUUUGCUUCUAAUGGGGAUAUUAUAUUUUAGUUUUAAAAUUUUUGUUUCUUUUCUAAUUUGCACUCACAUUUUACAUUCUUCAGAUACUAUCUGUUAUAGUCCGAUAUUGAACCAGAAGUUGUUUGUUGGACUGCUUUCCUUCACUGUGUCUCCGCUGCUUCUGUUUCCCGGUGUUUCAUCUUCUGAUUACAUAUAAGAGCCCUCGGUGAAGAUGGACCCAAGGGCAUCACUGUUGACAAGGGUUCAGGAGUCCACCCUAUGGGCAGGUGUCCCUACCCGGAAGAUGCCAUCGGCCUAGGGAGUGGAGUGCAAGGAGGAUGGCGGUGCUUCAGUCAGAAAUGGACCCAGGCAGCCUUCCAGUGCAGCAUGACACAGUGGGUCUGGAGCUCAGGCGCAUAAACCAAUGCAUUAUGUAACGACGCCAUGUAAGGCAGGUAAUGUGACUACUCAGGUAAGCUCCUGCUUGCCUUGGAAGCAUCAUUGCCUGUAAAAAGUAUAACUCCCUUGCUAACGAUGUGCAUAGUGCUUGCUCUCCCGCUCCCAUACCGAGAGAAAUAAAGCUCUGUCCCACCUGCCUACAAUUCCAUGACUGUUCUUUCAGCUACCUGCCACCUGUCCACUGACUCCCCUAGCCCCCCAGCUUGGGCUUGAACCUAACAUAUACGUACCACCACUAGCACUUAAACAAAUCCAACAGAGAAAGAGAUAUUAUGAACACUAGCAAAAUACUUCAAGAUCUUUGGAAUAAAUUUACUGAAAAAUGCACAAAUGCAAACAGCAAUGCUUUAUUUAAGGAUAUUUAAUAAAGAAGCAUUCCAUAUUCAUGAAUUAUAAGUCUCAAUGUGACAAAAUUUGUCAACGUUUUCCAAAUCUCUUUACUGAACAUAAUUUUAAUUAAAAUUACAUAUUUUUUUUCCCUGAGACAGAGUUUCUCUCUUGUCGCCAAGGCUAGGGUACAAUGGCACAAUCUCAGCUCACUGCAACCUCCACCUCCUGGUUUUAAGUGAUUCUCCUGCCUCAGCCUCCUGAGUAGUUGGGAUUACAGGCAUGUGCCACCAUGCUCGGCUAAUUUUUUGUAUUUUUAGUAGAGAUGGAGUUUCUCUUAUUGGUCAAGCUAGUCUCCAAUUCCCGAUCUCAGGUGAUCUGCCCUCUUCAGCCUCCCAAAGUGCUGAGAUUACAGGCGUGAGCCACCGUGCCUGGCUUAAAAGUCUAAUUUUUAAAGGAACUUGGAAAGGUGCUUCUCCAAAACUGGAAAAGUUGCCAAUGAUAGAGAAAACACUCAUGAAGUCAAAAUGAAUGGAUUGACUUCAUUUUAUAGAGAGACAUAUUCUAAAGUCAUCAUCUAGGGAUGAUGAGAAUGCUCUAAAAUUAGAUAUGGUGAUUUAAAAAUCUGAAUAUGUGAAAAAACGUUGAAUUGUGUACUUUAAAUGGUGAGUUUUAUGUGAUUUAUAUCUUACUAAAGUUUAAUGAAAGAAACAUAAUGAGAUGUCAUGACAAACCCACUAGAAUUUCUAAAUUAAAAUCACUGACUAUUCCAAAUAUUGGUGAGAAUAUGGACCAUCAAUAGCUGCCACACACUGCUCGCCAUAGUGCAAAUUGGCACAGUCACUUAAUCUAGGACAUCAUCUCUUUGGGUGGGAUAUUAUACACAUACACCAGUAAUUCCAUUCCUAGGCAUAUUAUUGUGAGUGAUCUGUGCUCCAAUAUUGUGCGCCAGUGCACGUGUGCACCAACAUACAUGUGCAAGAAGGCUUACAGCAGCAUCAUUUGUAAUUUUUAAAUUCUAAAAGCAGAAUGACCACAAAGGGAAAAGGAUUAAUUUCAUGUGUGGUUUAUUCAUUCAAUGCAAUUCUACAAAUAACAAAACAAGAACCCUUUAGAGACACCUAUAACAACUUAGCAAGCAUAUAUUUGAGCUAAAAUAAGGUCUCAUAAGAAUACACAUAGCACGAUUCCAUUUGUAUAAAAAGUUCAAAAUCUCUAUGAAGUUUAAGAUAACCUAUAUUGUUUUACAGACAUAUGCAUGGGGGUUAAGUUUGAAAGGUGUAAACAGGAUUACUAUGAAAUCAGGAUGAGGGGGAACUCUCAGGACGGCAAAGGGAUUAUUGCUAUGGGAAUUGGUAUGGAAACUUCUGUUUUGUUUUUGUUUUCCUGACUUGUUCCUUUUUCAGAUGGAUUUCCCCUUUAAACCCCUUUGUUAAAAUGAAAAUAUAAUUCAGGCCCUUCACUUUGGUUGUAACUUACAGUGUAAGACUGGCAAAAAAAAAAAAAAAAAAAAAAAAAAGCAAUGUUAGCUACUUGUGUAUAAUUGGACAAAUUAACCUUUGUUCACAAAAGAGAUGGGCUCCGUGCUACACCACGAAUCAGAGAAGAGACCGUGAACUGAAAUGGGAACUUGGAAUUGUCAUUAUUCUGUCAUUAUACUCAGGAUCCUGUCCAUGAAAUAUUGGAAUACCGCUGUCCAAUUCCCUUCUGCAGUGAUGGAGUGUUUAUGUCUGUGCUGUUCAUUAGAGCACAGAAACAGACAUUCAUAUUCUGUGAAUUGUGAGUACUUGAAAUGUGGCUAGUGCAAAUAAGAAACUGACUUUUAAAAUCUCUUUUAUUUUAAUUGAUUGAAGGGUAAAUAGGGCCCUGUGGACAAGGCAGAAUUACAGAAACAAAAUUCAGCAUCUGCUGUCUCUGUUUUUUGCUCAGCCAUCCAUCAUGUGACUGACUGCUUCAUUGUUACUAAUUUUGGAACGAUCCCAUUUCAAGGAAAAAUGGGAUUUCAGCUUCUUCAGUGAUGAGACUUUCUUGCACUCAGCAGCUAAUAAAAUACCUGAACCCCCACCAAAAAAAAAAAAAAAAACAUGUUAAUCUCUGUUAUCUCUGGGUAUAGAAAAUAUGCUGAAUUCUUAUUUGUAUGUGAAAUAAAUGUGUUUUUCAAUAAGA